UACACUCCUACGGGAGGCAGCAGUGAGGAAUAUUGGACAAUGGGUGGAAGCCUGAUCCAGCCAUCCCGCGUGCAGGAAGACGGCCCUAUGGGUUGUAAACUGCUUUUAUCUGGGGAUAAACCUACUUACGUGUAAGUAGCUGAAGGUACCAGAAGAAUAAGCACCGGCUAACUCCGUGCCAGCAGCCGCGGUAAUACGGAGGGUGCAAGCGUUAUCCGGAUUUAUUGGGUUUAAAGGGUCCGUAGGCGGACUGAUAAGUCAGUGGUGAAAUCCGACAGCUUAACUGUCGAACUGCCAUUGAUACUGUUAGUCUUGAGUAAGGUUGAAGUGGCUGGAAUAAGUAGUGUAGCGGUGAAAUGCAUAGAUAUUACUUAGAACACCAAUUGCGAAGGCAGGUCACUAAGUCUUAACUGACGCUGAUGGACGAAAGCGUGGGGAGCGAACAGGAUUAGAAACCCCGGUAGUCCCA
rnacentral:rRNA from 1 species